AGAGUUUGAUCCUGGCUCAGAAUGAGCGCUGGCGGCGUGCCUAACACAUGCAAGUCGUACGAGAAAGGGGCUUCGGCCCUGAGUAGAGUGGCGCACGGGUGAGUAACGCGUGGGUAAUCUACCCUUGGAUUUGGGAUAACUCUGCGAAAGUGGAGCUAAUACCGGAUAGUCUGGCUUUAAAUAAGAAGUCGGUAAAGGAUGCCUCUGCAUAUGCAUUCGUCCGAGGAUGAGCCCGCGUCUCAUUAGCUAGUCGGUAGGGUAAUGGCCUACCAAGGCAACGAUCAGUAGCCGACCUGAGAGGGUGAUCGGCCACACUGGAACUGAGACACGGUCCAGACUCCUACGGGAGGCAGCAGUGGGGAAUAUUGCACAAUGGGCGCAAGCCUGAUGCAGCAAUGCCGUGUGAGUGAUGAAGGCUUUCGAGUCGUAAAGCUCUUUGAUCAGGGAUGAUAAUGACAGUACCUGAAAAACAAGCCACGGCUAACUACGUGCCAGCAGCCGCGGUAA
rnacentral:rRNA from 1 species